GACGAACGCUGGCGGCGUGCUUAACACAUGCAAGUCGAGGGCACUGUGGGGGCAACCCUGGAGUGACCGGCGAACGGGUGCGUAACACGUGAGCGACCUUGCCUCGUGGUGGGGGGAUAGCCGGCCCAACGGCCGGGUAAUACCGCAUAGGGGUGCUGACUCCGCAUGGAGACGGCAGACAAAGCCCUGGAGCAAUCCAGUGGCGCCACGGAGGGGGGCGUCGCGGCCUAUCAG
rnacentral:rRNA from 1 species